rnacentral:rRNA from 1 species
GAUGAACGCUGGCGGCGUGCCUAAUACAUGCAAGUCGAGCGAACUGAUUAGAAGCUUGCUUCUAUGACGUUAGCGGCGGACGGGUGAGUAACACGUGGGCAACCUGCCUGUAAGACUGGGAUAACUUCGGGAAACCGAAGCUAAUACCGGAUAGGAUCUUCUCCUUCAUGGGAGAUGAUUGAAAGAUGGUUUCGGCUAUCACUUACAGAUGGGCCCGCGGUGCAUUAGCUAGUUGGUGAGGUAACGGCUCACCAAGGCAACGAUGCAUAGCCGACCUGGGAGGGUGCUCGGCCACACUGGGACUGAGACACGGCCCAGACUCCUACGGGAGGCAGCAGUAGGGAAUCUUCCGCAAUGGACGAAAGUCUGACGGAGCAACGCCGCGUGAGUGAUGAAGGCUUUCGGGUCGUAAAACUCUGUUGUUAGGGAAGAACAAGUACAAGAGUAACUGCUUGUACCUUGACGGUACCUAACCAGAAAGCCACGGCUAACUACGUGCCAGCAGCCGCCGUAA